rnacentral:rRNA from 1 species
GACGAACGCUGGCGGCGUGCCUAAUACAUGCAAGUCGAGCGAAUCUGAGGGAGCUUGCUCCCAAAGAUUAGCGGCGGACGGGUGAGUAACACGUGGGCAACCUGCCUGUAAGACUGGGAUAACUUCGGGAAACCGGAGCUAAUACCGGAUAAUCCCUUUCCUCACAUGAGGAAAGGCUGAAAGACGGCGUCUAGCUGUCACUUACAGAUGGGCCCGCGGCGCAUUAGCUAGUUGGUGAGGUAACGGCUCACCAAGGCCACGAUGCGUAGCCGACCUGAGAGGGUGAUCGGCCACACUGGGACUGAGACACGGCCCAGACUCCUACGGGAGGCAGCAGUAGGGAAUCUUCCGCAAUGGACGAAAGUCUGACGGAGCAACGCCGCGUGAGUGAUGAAGGUUUUCGGAUCGUAAAACUCUGUUGUUAGGGAAGAACAAGUAUCGGAGUAACUGCCGGUACCUUGACGGUACCUAACCAGAAAGCCACGGCUAACUACGUGCCAGCAGCCGCGGUAAUACGUAGGUGGCAAGCGUUGUCCGGAAUUAUUGGGCGUAAAGCGCGCGCAGGUGGUUCCUUAAGUCUGAUGUGAAAGCCCACGGCUCAACCGUGGAGGGUCAUUGGAAACUGGGGAACUUGAGUGCAGAAGAGGAAAGUGGAAUUCCAAGUGUAGCGGUGAAAUGCGUAGAGAUUUGGAGGAACACCAGUGGCGAAGGCGACUUUCUGGUCUGUAACUGACACUGAGGCGCGAAAGCGUGGGGAGCGAACAGGAUUAGAUACCCUGGUAGUCCACGCCGUAAACGAUGAGUGCUAAGUGUUAGAGGGUUUCCGCCCUUUAGUGCUGCAGCAAACGCAUUAAGCACUCCGCCUGGGGAGUACGACCGCAAGGUUGAAACUCAAAGGAAUUGACGGGGGCCCGCACAAGCGGUGGAGCAUGUGGUUUAAUUCGAAGCAACGCGAAGAACCUUACCAGGUCUUGACAUCCUCUGACAAUCCUAGAGAUAGGACGUUCCCCUUCGGGGGACAGAGUGACAGGUGGUGCAUGGU